GACGAACGCUGGCGGCGUGCCUAAUACAUGCAAGUAGAACGCUGAAGGAGGAGCUUGCUUCUCUGGAUGAGUUGCGAACGGGUGAGUAACGCGUAGGUAACCUGCCUGGUAGCGGGGGAUAACUAUUGGAAACGAUAGCUAAUACCGCAUAAGAGUAGAUGUCGCAUGACAUUUGCUUAAAAGGUGCAAUUGCAUCACUACCAGAUGGACCUGCGUUGUAUUAGCUAGUUGGUGAGGUAACGGCUCACCAAGGCAACGAUACAUAGCCGACCUGAGAGGGUGAUCGGCCACACUGGGACUGAGACACGGCCCAGACUCCUACGGGAGGCAGCAGUAGGGAAUCUUCGGCAAUGGACGGAAGUCUGACUGAGCAACGCCGCGUGAGUGAAGAAGGUUUUCGGAUCGUAAAGCUCUGUUGUAAGAGAAGAACGAGUGUGAGAGUGGAAAGUUCACACUGUGACGGUAUCUUACCAGAAAGAGACGGCUAACUACGUG
rnacentral:rRNA from 1 species